GCCUUUGUGGUGCAGUGGUCAGCAUGCUCGACGCGCAUUCGAGAGGUCCGUGGUUCGAGUCACGGUGAGGGCA
rfam:Stegodyphus mimosarum contig29266, whole genome shotgun sequence.